UACCGUGUGAUGGGGGAUAACUAACCGAAAGGUUGGCUAAUACCGCAUACGCCCUGAGGGGGAAAGAGGGGGAUCGCAAGACCUCUUGUCAUACGAGCGGCCGAUGUCGGAUUAGCUAGUUGGUGAGGUAAAGGCUCACCAAGGCAACGAUCCGUAGCGGGUCUGAAAGGACGACCCGCCACACUGGGACUGAGACACGGCCCACACUCCUACGGGAGGCAGCAGUGGGGAAUCUUGGACAAUGGGCGCAAGCCUGAUCCAGCAAUGCCGCGUGGGUGAAGAAGGCCUUCGGGUUGUAAAGCCCUUUUGUCAGGGAGCAAAUCCUUGGACUUAAUACGUCCCGGGGAUGAGAAUACCUGAAGAAUAAGGACCGGCUAACUACGUGCCAGCAGCCGCGGUAAUACGUUAGGUCCAAGCGUUAAUCGGAAUUACUGGGCGUAAAGCGU
rnacentral:rRNA from 1 species